UAGAGUUAAGGAGGUGGGGUUUAGGGUUUAAAAAUAAAAAAAAAAGUUAAAAUUUUCAAAAUAAAAAAUGUUUUUUGGUCAUUUUAGUUUUUGAGGUCUAUUUUUGUGACAAAAACUUAAAAAAAUGUAUAUUUAAGAGAAUUGCCCUAUAUAUAUAUAUAUUAUUUUUUUUUGUAAACAAUCAUCAAUAUUUUCCUUGAAACUUUUGUCCGUUGUGGUUGGUUAGUUACAUCAUAUUUUAGAUAGCUCCGGGAAAUUGCAACUCAGAAAAUUAACACCAAGUAGAAACAUAUAAGAUACUUCCUGCUGGUCAAGCAUUUUAUGUCUUAUGUAUUGCACAAUAAGACACUUCCUGCUGGCCAAGCACUUUAUGUCUGUUUAUUAGCUUUCAUACCCUCAUUCUUAACCAGACCAAACUAACCUAACCAGACAAUUAAUCAUGAUUACAUUUUUUUUAAUCAAAAUUCAAUUUCUGUCGGAGAAAUCAAAACACGAUAUCUUUCUCAUCAAUUCAAAACGUACAUCCACUUUCACUUUACCAAAUCUCCAACCCUAAUUUCGUAUACCUCUCUACUUCGAGUGCGACAGAGAGAUAUCACACAAAACUGACGAAAUCGAAGGCGCAGAAGAAGUCCAAGGCGUCUCACAAAUCCAAGGUGUCAAUUGCGGCUCUUUCGUUUGAGUCGCUUUUUCUGGUUUUGGAUUUAAUGGAAAAGAUGAGCAGCCAUUCAAGUUGAACUAUUCUUGCAAACUUUCCUUGUGAUAUUCACGAGAGCGGAGGUGAAGAUUUUUUCAUAUGGGCCUGUUCUUCAAAGUCGAUUUGAAGAUCCUGCCAUGUUGCCGUUCCGCCUCGUCUCUGUCAACCACGACCACCAUGAAGAGCCAUCUUUGUCUUCAAGUCGAUUUGAAGAUCCCAUCAUGUUGCCGUUCCGCCUCGUCUCUGUCAACCACGACCACCGUGAAGAGCUAUCUCUGUCUUCUGAGUCUAGACUUUUAUGAGUUUUAUAGAAAAUUGAUGCUUAGGUAGCCAUUAAUUAUCCCAUUUGGAGUGGGUUGAUAAGCCUGAUUUUGUCACUUUCUCAUUGUUUCUUUGAUAGUUAUAUCUGACCAAACACGCUACCACUCCCUUUAUGUAUCUAGUUAUAUAUUUAUGGCUCUUGUAUUCUCCUGUGAAGAUGUUCCUUGUCUGACUUGUGAUUUGAACAGAUUGUGGAGGGGAUGAUCAAGAGAUCAAACAGGAAAUGGAGAAGCAGUUUAUGGACCUUCUAUUAGUUGGAUAUGUCAAUUCUUAACUCGACGAUUAUAGUUUCUUGAUAUUCUAUCAGUUAUCACAUCCACAAAUGGCAACUGCAAACUUUCGUCCACAUCCACAAACGAUAACCAUUUUCAGCAUCCACAAACAUGUAUACACAUAUGUAUAUCAGAGAGACUCGCUUAUAAACAGUAACUCAUAGACAUAUUGUCUUUUGUCAAGGUUCAAAGAUUCAAGGAAUGUGUUCGUUAUUGGAGAUUCGGGUUUGUUUAGUUUCAAAUUGUGUUAAUUAUUGCUUGGUUUAGUUUGGUUAAUUUAGUCAAUUGUGGGUUGCAAUUCGAAGGGUUCAAACUUUUAGUUUGGUAUGUUUGGUCUACUGUCCACAGAUCGAUAUCCACAUCCAUUCAUAUUCACAAUACUAGUCAUUCUAUGUCUAAGACUCAAGUGUGUAUUCAUUCUGUCUAAGAUUCAAGAGUGUAUUUUUUUUUAUUCUCCACGGUUUGUUUGUCCA